CUAUUUUCAUGCUUGAUUCAUAGUUGUGCUGGUGGUUUGAGUGGUUUCUUUUUGCAUAGACUUCCUCUUCACCUCUUUUGCUGCUUUAGCUUUUCAACAUGAUUUCACAGGAACCUGCCUAGAUAACUCAACACUCAGCCUUAGACCCCUUUGACACAAACACAAACUAGUGUGUUUAACACAACAUAUUUUUCAGUGUUGUAAGUGUGCAUUUCCUGUGACCCACAAGACGACAUCUUUGUACUUUUUGGUUCUGUCCAAAAGGUCCUGGCAUCUUGGUCACAAUGCUUUUAACAAGAACAAUGGACUACUUAUUCAACAGGAAUUUUCUGCUAUUGCUCACAGUGGGAGCCAUAAUUAACGCCAGAGUUCAGGGGACACGUAUCGAACCUGAGGUCCCAAAGAUGGUUAAAGCAUGUACAGGAUCACACACAACCAUCAGCUGCAUGUUUCACACAGAUGUUAAAGGGCUCAAAGUGGCCUGGUAUUUUGACAAAACGUCUGACUUUAAUGACCGUAAGAACAUUAAUGAACUCCACUCACCACCUGGCUCCAAUGUGAGGCAUUACCAUGAAGAGAAAGGACACACUGCUUCAUAUUUGACCAUUCGAAAUGUUACUUUAAAUGACAGUGGAUGGUACUUUUGUCAGGUCACACAGGAUAUUCCUAUACUCAUAAGUAACCUCAGCAAUGGAUCUGAACUGGUCAUUUCUCCUCCCACAGAGUGUAAUGUUGAGGACCAUACAACAAAUUCUUCUACGAUUUAUGAUUCACCCACAGACAGUAAUUUGGAGGACAGUACAAAAAAUUCAACUACAACUUAUGCAUCUGAACCUCCAAAUGCUUCUCCUUGGUGGCUCUGGGUAGCUGUGGCAGGGGGCUGUGUUUUGAUUAUAACAGCUGCGAUCACCACAACUGUCAUAUGCAGAAGAAAAAAAGAGGCCCCUGUUUAUGAGAACACAAAAGAAGCAUCAAAGAGACACUGGAAAGAAGAUAAAUACCUUCACCAUGGCAUGCCAUCAAAAGGAUAUUCACAUAAACAAAUGGAUACUCUGAAACCACACAACCAUGAAUAUGUUCACAAUGGUAGAAAACCGAGCCCAAAAUUAUAAAUAAUGGCAUUGGAUUAUAAUCUGCUAGUCCAUCUUAAUUUUAUCAUUCAGCCAUUCAGUUGUAAUUUUGCUGGUGUGGUUAUGAUAAUUGUCCUGUUGCAUGAACCAGUUUAGGCCAAGCUUUAUCUGCUGGACAGAUGGCCUCACAUUUGCCUUCAGAAUGAUUUGGUAUAAUGAGGAGUUCAUAUUCGUCUUAUAACCUUAAGGUGCCAUGGAGCUGUAAUUGCAAAACAGACAUAUCCCUCAUCAUCCCUAUACCACAUUCGUGGUGAUAUGCCAUGUUUGGCCAAAGCUUGUGCUGUGCAUUAAUUAUAACCAAACAUCUCCAUUUUUAAUCAUCUGCCCAAGCAACAUGGUUUUCCAGAAAUGUUUUGUUAGAUGUUUUACAUAACAUUGCAGACUGUGCUUGAAUAGAGAAAAGAGUCCUGCAGAUCCUUAUAUGUAACCCUUGGGUUGCUUGACGUCUUCCUCAUCAAAUGGUCUGACACUGUGGUGAAUUUACUGGGACAUUGACUCCUUGGAAGAUUGGCAGCAGCUUUGAAUGUUCUCAAUUUUUUAAUAAUCCUCCUCACUGUAGAAUGCUGGGUUUGAAUAACCCUUCCCAGAAUGGUACGUAGAAACAGUUGGUUCUGUAAGAUCAUUGGUGAUGUCUUAUCUCCUUGUACUGGUGUUAACAAAAAAACCUAUGCCACCAAUCCAGACCACUAGAAUGCCAGAAUUUCUGCUUUUAUAGAGGUGGCCACACAUCCCGAUUAUCAAGAAAUCUGUUGCAUUUGAUUAAUAGCUCCUCGCUGCAAAUUACUGCUAAUAGAUACGGAAACAGUAAGUAUAUGCUUACAUUUUCGCACAUGGCUUUCACAUACGGGCUGAUAUAUUUGGUAAGUAAAUAAUGACACAGUAGAAUGUGGUGUUUGUCACUGAUGUUAGAUUUACUAGGUCUUAGGACCUGAUGAGGAAGAGGUGAUGUUUUAACAAGUCUGAAUAUGUAAAAAAAAAACAAACAAAAAAAAAAAACAUACAUUUAAAAAGAGGGUGUACUUUCUUUUCUCAACACUGAAAAUGCAUUACAUUUUUAAUACAAAAUCAAUACACAAUCAACACACAAUGAUGAGAAAAGUCACAGAAGAGUGCCCAGACUGGUUUGAGCUCACAGGCAGGCUACGUUAACUGAACUAGCCACUCUUUACAGCUAUGGUGAGAAGAAAAAAAUCUCAGAAUGCAGAACACAUCAAACCUUGAAGCAGAUGGGCUACAAUAGGAAAAGUCCACGUGUGGUGUCGCACAAGGACAGGAAUCGGAGGCUGCAGUGGGCACAGACUCAUUGAAACUAGACAGUAGACUGGAAAAAGACUAGAUGACUGGCUGACUGGAUAAUUGCAUAAAUAGUCAGGUGUACACAUGCUCUUAUUAGUGUUCAGUGAGUGUAUUUAGGGAAGACUGAGGAUGUUUGUAACACUGGUUAGUAACACCCGCAGACUUUCUUAAAAUGACGUAACCACAGCCACAUGACUGUCUCCAUACAUGCUUAGUGUAGCAUGAAGCUCACAACUGAAGAGGUAGCUGUUCAGAAGCUUCAGAACUGUUAAUAAAAUAUAGGUUUACACAAAUAGCAUUUUGUGAUUGGUGCUAAAAUGGCUGCAUGAACAAACAGUCAUGCACAGCAGCUGUUUGAGGUCAGGGCUGUUUCCUUGCUGAAGCAUGUACAUGUGUAGGUUUUGUGUGGUAUGAGUCAGACUCAGAUGAAGUGUCCGAUUCAGAUAAAACACAGUGCUGUAGACUACUUGUGGUUACACAGCUGGUUGCAACACGUAUUUGCAGAGCAAGUUAUUUGUCCCCUCUUCUUACUUACAUACCAUAUAAAAAAAGACAUUCAUAGAAACAUGUAUGUGUAUAUUUUUGGAGAGCCCUGUUUAUGAGAACACAAAAGAAACCUUAACAACAUAUGGGAAGACAGAUCGAUCCCUUCACCACUACAUGCCAUCAAAAGGAUAUUCAAAUAAACAAACGGAUUACUCUUAAACCACAUAACAAUGAAUACUGCAGCAGACAACCGAGCCCAGUGGAAUAAUGGAAAAAAUGGAAUUGGUUAUUAUCUGCUAGUCCAUAUUUAUUAUAGCUGUCUUUAUGUUAAGUGUGAUAUUCUAUUUAAAAAAAGUGACUUCUGUGCUGUAGUCACUUACUGCUUUUAUCACUGGAAAAACAACGCCAUAGCUCUGCUUUUGCAAACUGUUUAUUUGUAAAAGACCCAACUGAACACUGUGAUUCCAUAUUUGGAUAAAAUCUAUUCACCUGUACUAACAUGAUAGAUCAGGGUUCUUCAAAUCUGAGGUCCACUUUACUGUGCUGCCGAGUUUAGCUCCAACCCUAAUUAAACAGACUCGAACAAGCUAACCAAGGUCCUCAGGAUUACUAGAAAAUUACAGGCAGUUAAGUUUGGCGGUUGGAGCUAAACUUGAAGAACCCUGCGAUAGAUCAUACUUCACUGUUGCCAAUAUCAAAUGUAGUAAUAUUGUAGACCUCUUUGACAAGUAUAAAAUAUUGUAUGUCGACCAUAAGCACAAUUGCUGCAAAAUACUGUCAAUUUCUGUUAUUUGUUAUGCUUAUGUUACAUCUGUUCAUUUCUCAAAAUGCACAAGUAAAGUAAGCUUCAGUUUUCUAGAUUUCUCAACAUUGUCAAAACUCAACACUUUUAUAACAGAAUGCUAUUAUAGAGAACUGAUUUCUAUGAAAAUUUCAGGUUCGUAUCUGGUCCCCCACCAGAGAUAUUCAACCUGAAAUUGAGGGGAAUUUUUUUUAAAUUGCACUUUCUUGACUCCAAUAAAUAGAUAAAUAAAUGAGAAGUCUCA
ensembl:lncRNA